rnacentral:lncRNA from 1 species
CAAUGGGUAACCCAGUAAUUCCGCUCCCUCAUUUCAAUGAGGAAAGGAAAGGUUGGAGGAGCCUUCCUCUCAAGAAUGCUCUUCUGAGAGCGCCUCGCUCGAGCUUCAUCAUCCCCUAGAGUGACAGUUUCCACUCCUCCAACCUGUUGGGUGAAAAAGAGAAAAGGAAUAAGCUUCUGGUUAAUAGUUUUCGCAAAAAAAAAACAUGCAAAAUUAAAUCCACAGAUCCAUCUGUCUAACGAUGAAAGUUCAAUAAAUCAAGUAUGAGGGAAAAAAGGGUGAACCAGGUCCGAGAGAGUGGGGUUCUUAAUGAUGUUCCCAAGCUGUUCCCCAUGUGCCGUCCCAAUGAGCAUGACCCCCCUCUCUGCAAUGGAUCGACAAGCCAUCGUCUCUGCUUCUGUGCCGAUCUCAUCCACAAUCACGACCUCAGGCAUAUG